AGCAAGGGCACUCUGUGUCACAUUGAUAUUUUACCUCAAGUGGAACAAUUUGUAACCUUGCUAGAUAAAAAUUACAUUCUUAGCUUCUACCAUUAAGCAGUUUAAAUAAGCUUUAGUGUUUUUUUUUUUGCAGAAUGUAAACAAUAU